UGCAGCCUCGCUUCCAGGAAGGAGGGACAGCUGUGUCCUCGUGGCCCCUGCACUGCAGGGCAGGGGCCCGGGCUGGCCUCACCCUCGCCCUGUGAGUCUCGUACUUGACAGUCCCGGAACAGGAAGAAGGCGCUCAACCCGGGAAGCUCCAGGUUUGAUGGGGGGCUUCGGACAAAGGAGAGACCCCUGCAACCAAGAUCGUCAAAGAGCGCACCCAGCAGUGGCCAGCUCAGUCCCAUCAGAGAAACCCCGAUGGGCUCAUUCACAAUCCCUUUCACCGCUGCCCACUGGUGAGAAGCUUGGAAGGCCCAGCACCUAGCUCAGCACCCUGAGGCCAGCCGCUCCGCCCUCACUCCUGUCUGUACCAGCACCAGGCUGCAGUGUCCUGACACCUGGGGCUCGGCCCUGCCUCCUCGAAAGGGAAGAUCCGACUGCAGAGACACUUGGCCCUUCGGGAAAACGAGGACCCAACUGAUCCAUGUGAGCACAGGCUCAGCCAGCAGCUCACAGUAACCCGGCCUGAUCUCAGAGGUGAAUUGUGCAGAAAUCAAAAGGUGGUAUCUCUGUGGCGACUGGCGUUUCGUGUAAUUGGCACCGAUGGUCACGCAGCCCCCAGGGCUGAGGUCCCACAUGCUGCUGAUUUUGGUGAAAUCGAACAACUUGGCUGUGACCGCAGAGCGGCUGAACCGCGAGGGCCCAGGCUUUGAGAUGCUUCAAAUCAAGAGGAAGCGCUUUCCGCCUUUGGCCUACUUCUCCCACACAGUGUUGGGUGAAUUGCUAUAGGUAAAAUCUCACCACAGUCGGCUGUGAAUUCCAUUGCACAAUAUAAAAGCACUCGUUUGCUUUCCUUUUGGAUUGGAUUUCCAAACGGGUCAAACAUUUACAGAAAUGUCCCAAACUGUACAAAUAAACCACAGCCCCAGCGAGGGAGGCAGUUUACAUUACUCCGGGUCAGAUGAACAGGGGAGUCACAACCGCCCUUUGAAAACCACUUCACCGUCAUGCGUGGGAGCUCUGCUUGCAGCCUGGGAUGCCUCAACGCCGUCAAAGGCUCCAGGACAGCGGCCGUGCGAUAAAUCCGCACAGCCUUCCCACUCCAGCUGGGUGGCUCCUGUCCUCCACGGGUCAGGCUCCCUCCCGGGAGUCCUGGCCACCACCCUGGGCCCUGUGCCCUGCACCCUGCUGUCCUGCACACCGGCCCGUGCAUGAUCGGCCGCCGAUCGCCUGCAGGGUGCGGGACGCAGAGCCCGCACUCAGCUGCACCCUGCUCGCCCACAGCACCGAGAGUGCUCCCCGCUCCCCCAGGCCCACCCGGGCUGACUGGGUGGUGUGAGGC
rnacentral:lncRNA from 1 species